AAUGUCGUUCUCUAAAGAAAAUAACAAUAGGCUAGGUUCGCCGACAUUUCCAAGCCAAAUCUAAUAUGCGAAUUCCAUUGAUAGCUUUGCUGUUGUUGUCUGCUAGCAUCAAAGCUAGUACCGAAAGAAUUCGGUGAAACAAGGGAAAAGGCCGUUAUUGCAACAAAAUGUUUCGGUGCAACAAAUUCUACCAAAAACUCCUUUUACCAUAAAAGACGGCUAGCUGCUUUAAAGAGGAGAAGACUUAAAAAAGUGACAUCAAGGAUAUUUUGUUAUGCGGGUUUAUUGAUUAUUACCAGGAUCCAAGCAUAAACCAAAGCCAAACAUAGGACUUGCUUAACCACUCAACAAUAUUACUGUGAAAGGAUGCCAAAUUAUGAAAGCGAGGAUCAUCCAAACCAUCCACCUUUCUGAUUUGAGGUCUUCAAUGGAUGAAUGUAAUUUAAACGAGUUUUCAUAUUGAGUCUGAAAAAGAAAGGUAUG